GACGAACGCUGGCGGCGUGCCUAAUACAUGCAAGUAGAACGCACAGUUUAUACCGUAGCUUGCUACACCAUAGACUGUGAGUUGCGAACGUGUGAGUAACGCGUAGGUAACCUGCCUGGUAGCGUGGGAUAACUAUUUGAAACGAUAGCUAAUACCGCAUAAUAUUGAUUAUUGCAUGAUAAUUAAUUGAAAGGUGCAAUUGCACCACUACCAGAUGGACCUGCGUUGUAUUAGCUAGUAGGUGAGGUAACGGCUCACCUAGGCGACGAUACAUAGCCGACCUGAGAGGGUGAUAGGCCACACUGGGACUGAGACACGGCCCAGACUCCUACGGGAGGCAGCAGUAGGGAAUCUUCGGCAAUGGACGAAAGUCUGACCGAGCAACGCCGCGUGAGUGAAGAAGGUUUUCGGAUCGUAAAGCUCUGUUGUAAGAGAAGAACGGGUGUGAGAGUGGAAAGUUCACACUGUGACGGUAUCUUACCAGAAAGGAACGGCUAACUACGUG
rnacentral:rRNA from 1 species